UGGAGGUGUGAGGUGUAGACAGAGAUGAUGAGGUUCAUGUAGAGAGAGGUGGUGAGAUGUAUAUGGUGGUAUGGGGUAUAGAUGGAGGUUCUGAGGUAUUGACGGUGGUGUAAGGUGGAGAUGGUGAGGUGUAUAUGGAAGUGAUCAGAUGUAGAUGGAAGUGUGAGGUGUAGAUGGGGGGUGAAGUGUAGAUGGAAAUGUGAUAUGUGAAUGGAGGUGGUGAGGUUUACAUGGAAGUGAUGAGAUGUAGAUGGAGGUGGUAAGUUGUAGACAGAGGUGUGAGGUGGAGAUGGAGAUGGUGAGGUAGUGUAUGGUGGUGUGAAGUAUAGAUGGAGGUAUGAGGUAUACAUGGUGAUGAGGUGUGGACAAGGGUGGUGAGGUGUAGAUGGUGAUGGUGAGGUAUAGAAGGAGGUGUGUGGCGUAGGUAUAGGUGGUGAGAGAUAGGUGAGGGUGGUGAGGUGUAGAUGGUGGUCGUGAGGUGUAGAUGGAGGUGGUGAUAUCUAGAUGGAGGUAGCGAGGUCUAGAUGGAGGUGUGUGAUAUAGGUGUAGGUGAUGAGGUAUAGGUGAGGGUGGUGAGGUGUAGAUGGUGAUGGUGAUGUCUAGAUGGAGGUGAUGAGGUCUAGAUGGAGGAGUGUGGUGUAGGUGUAGGUGGUGAGGUAUAGGUGAGGGUGGUGAGGUCUAGAUGGUGGUGAGGUCUAGAUGGAGAUGUGUGGUUUAGGUGUAGGUGGUGAGAUACAGGUGAGGGUGGUGAGGUGUAGAUGGUGGUGGUGAGGUCUAGAUGGAGAUGUGUGGUUUAGGUGUAGGUGGUGAGAUAUAGGUGAGGGUGGUGAGGUGUAGAUGGUGGUGGUGAGGUCUAGAUGGAGGUGGUGAGGUCUAGAUGGAGGUGUAUGGUGUAAGUGUAGGUGGUGAGGUAUAGGUGAGGUUGGUGAGGUAUAGAUGGUGGUGGUGAGGUCUAGAUGGAGGUGGUGAUGUCAGAUGGAGGUGGUGAGGUCUAGAUGGGGGUGGUGAGGUCUAGAUGGAGGUGUGUGGUUUAGGUGUAGGUGGUGAGGUAUAGGUGAGGGUGGUGAGGUCUAGAUGGUGGUGGCAGUGAGGUCUAUAUGGAGGUGCUGAUGUCUACAUGGAGGUGGUGAGGUCUAGAUGGAGGCAGUGAGGUCUAGAUGGAGGCGGUGAGGUCUAGAUGGAGGUGUAUGGUGUAGGUGUAGGUGGUGAGGUAUAGGUGAGGGUGGUGAGGUCUAGAUGGUGGUGGUGAGGUCUAGAUGGAGGUGGUAAUGUCUAGAUGGAGGUGGUGACGUCUAGAUGGAGGUGUGUGGUUUAGGUGUAGGUGGUGAGGUAUAGGUGAGGGUAGUGAGGUGUAGAUGGUAGUGGUGAGGUGUGGAUGAGGGUGUGAUGUGUAGAUAGAGGUGGCAAGGUGUAGAUGGAGGAUGUGGAGGCAGUGAUAGUGAUGAAGGAAGGAGUUAGAAGGCCUUGUGCAUGAAGAAAUAGAAGAUUGUUGUUGCUAUUAUGCUGAUAAAUGUGGAAGAACCUGUCCUCCUUUGAUUACACAUGUGAAAUGGUGAAAUUUCACCAUUAGGAGUCUGGAGACCCUUAUUCUUUCAGAGCCAUGGUACCUUUGGGAAAUCACCUCUCUGGGCCUCAGUGUUCUUGGAGCAGAGUUUGCUCUAUUAAAUGGCAUUUGUCAGGGGGAAAUCUACCUCUCUCCCUCCAAGCACUUUUGCCUCACCUUAUAAAGUGGGAACUUCUGUCCUUGCUGCAGCCUUGAGAAAAGUACUCUCCACUUACUGCUCUACCUCUAAACUCAUGCUAUCUAGCAGAGGAUGAGUGGUUCGUGUGCUUGGAGAAUUGGAGCACAUAAAAUGGGCAUAUGUCAUGACUCAGGUUCUUCUGGAUUUCCUCCUUCUGGGAACAGCCUCCUCAGAGAAGGCCUGUGCUUCCCUCCUCUCCUCUUCUUUUCAACCUGCCCUAGGAAGGGCAGGUUCUUGCGUUGUGGGAUAGGGGAGUCUUCCAGUUCUG
rnacentral:lncRNA from 10 species